ensembl:lncRNA
UUUUUUUUUUUUUUUCUGGAAUGACUUUGAAAUAGUUUUACCCUUAUCUAUGAGAAAUUAAAUAGCUGUUCUUCCUUUGUUUUGACAAAUGUUUUUCAAAAUCCCUGUCAUUCUUUAAAAGUGACAUAACAUGAAGUGGGAAGACGUUUAAAAAGAAAGAAUCAUUUUUUAAACUAUUGAUAAUUGUAGAAGAACAGAGACAGCUUCUCGUAUUUGGAUGAUUUACAACAAAAAUACAGCAAAAAACACUAAAGAAAGUUUAGAGAGUAAGUCGCAACCGUAGACAACAGUAACUGGGUCGGCAGCCCGGAUGGCAGCUGUGUGGCCACCUCGCGGCCCCUCCAUGCUCGAUUUAAUCCCCUCCAGGAGCGAUGGUCACUGGGAGACAUCGCAGCAGACUCUGCAGACCGCUGCCCCCACCUCCUGUUCUCCAGGACCCGCUCUGCUGGUCGGACCUUUGUGUUGUGGAAGCGCCAAUCCUUCUUCUGCUCCACCUGUGUGUGGGCCGUGGCUCUGAAGAAAGGGGAGGUUGCCCGACACGUGUCCCCUCCCGUGUUCCCCAUCCCUGCUGAGCAUGACCGUGGACCUGGCUUCCACAGGGGUGCCUCAGCCACGUGUGUUCCGAUGGACAGGGGCGUCCUGUGCUGCAGGCAGGACACCUGCUCACCUCCUGUGAGGAAACCUCAUCCUCUCAUUGCCUCUGCAGAAAGAGCUCGGAAGCCACACCCCUAACUGCAUUGGGAAAUUGUUCACCUGUUACCUGGAAAACAGGCCGGUCUGGAGAACAGCCUAGAGAUCCCACUUCAUUCCCUGUGGAACCAAGGGACGCUGCUUUGCUGCUCUAAUGCUGGUGUUGCUGCACAGAACUCUGGGCAGAAUUUUUGUUUUUAUUACUGCUAUUGGUAACAAUGAUUUGCUUGGAUUUCCAAGGGAUUCAUGGAAUAGAUUUAACAAAAGUUCCUAAGUUCACUGAUUCUGCCUCCAUGGUCCCAGGUUUUACCCCUUUUGAAAUGUGAACACAGAAAGAACCUCCCUCCACCACGAUGGUCCCUCAAAAUCUAACCAGGCAGAAUAUUUGCUACAAUUCCUAACACUUGCCUUUUAGCUCAGGUCCCCUCUUUUAACAAAAUUUGCCCAGAGAAUCCUAAUUUUGCAUAAAUACACACAAUAUUUUCUCUACCAUCUCUCGUGUCAGGAGGAAAGAAAUUCCAUCAUUCACCCUCAAGGAUAUUAGCUGUAGGUUUCUGCAGGCAUCCUUUAUAAAAUUCAAGCAUUUCUCUUAUUCUAUUAGUGUGCUAAGAAUCUUGAUCGAGAAUAGGUGUUGAGUUUUGUCAAAUGCGUUUUCUCUAACCACUGAGAUGAUCACCUACUUUUUCGUGUUUAAUUUAAUAUGCUGGAUUUUAUUAAUUGUCAAACAUUGAAACAGCCUUGCAUUCCUGAGAUAAAGCCAAUCUAGUAAUAACAUGCAAACCCUCUUACACAGUGUUGAAUUUCAUUGACUAAAGUGUUCCAGGGAACAUAUUUCAUCUUUGUUCAUGAGGGAUACUGAUUUGUAAUUUCUUCUCUUGUGAUGUCUCUGGGAUCAUUGUAACGCCUUAGAGAUGAGUGUGGGACAAUUCUCUUCAAUUAUCUGGAAGAUUUUUAUAGAAUUUGAUUGUUUAUUUUAUAAAGUUUGGUAAAAUUCAACCGUGAAGCCACCUUGACCUGAAGUUUUUAUUAGAAGAAGGUGGGGCCAGGCGUGGUGGCUCACACCUGUAAUCCCAGCACUUUGGGAGGCUGAGGUGGGUGGAUCACGAGGUCAGGAGAUGAAGACCAUCCUGGCUAACAUGGUGAAACCCCGUGUCUACUAAAAAUACACAAAAUUAGCCAGGCAUGGUGGCGGGCGCCUGUAGUCCCAGCUACUCGGGAGGCUGAGGCAGGAGAAUGGCGUGAACCCAGGUGGCGGAGCUUGCAGUGAGCCGAGAUCGCGCCACUGCACUCCAGCCUGGGCAACAGAGCGAGACACCGUCUCAAAAAAAAAAAAAAAAAAAAAAGGCGGCUUUCAUCUAAAAUUAAAUCUCUUUAAUAGAUAUCCAGUUAAUCAAAGUAUCUGGGUUUUUUGUUUAGUUUUUUUCUGAGAGGACUCUGGUAUUCAGUGUUUUUCGAGGAAUUUUUUCAUUUAGUCUCAGUUGUCUAAUUU